rnacentral:rRNA from 1 species
AUGUACAUGCCUACAACAUAGCGUUAAUGGAUCAAAUCCAAUUAGAACUAUGUAGUUAAGCGUGCUCUGGAUGGAGUAGUACUGGGAUGGGUGACCUCCUAGGAAGUCCUAGUGUUUUACAUG